UUGCUACUAUGAGUUCAGAUUCGGUAAUAUUGUUGCAGACGGUGACAUUUUCUGCUGAAAACCACCAAGAUCAACGGACUAAAGACCCCAAAGAAACCAACUAUCCAAUAGGUGUGGACCAAAGACUCAAAAGAAAGGAAAACAAACACAAAACACAAAGGAGAGGACGAAAGAGGUGUCCGGUGGAUGGCUGUCAAGUCACCGUCAUUCACCUACCUCGUCACCUGCGGCAGGUCCAUGAGUGAGGCAGUGAGGAGGCCCAGUCUGCAGUCAACACAUUCGGUCUCGGAGCACCAAGCAGACAUGGUGACAGCAGCAGCAAGGCUAAAAUCAACCAUCACUCCAGGCCUUGCCCCAUGACAGGCUGUCAUGAAGUGGUCAAAAGACUGCCAGCCCACCUGAGAAAGCAACACAAGCUUGAAAAUAACUCUCCUCUAUACAGAGAGCUUCUUACAGCAUCACAGAAGAGAAGGUCAAAUGUCAAUGAAUGAAUUUUAUGAUGUUUACUGUGAAUAAUUAUUCUAGCUGAUGUAUUGAAGUUGAAUGAGAAAUAUGUAAUUGAAUUGGGACAUGAUUGAACAAGACAAUAUUUGGGAAAGGAAUAAAGAAUGCGCUUGAACUGCCACACAGCUCGACUAACUUCGAUGUCCGUUUUCCUUUAUCUACAGCAGGCCGACUCAGACACCCUUUCUGAAGCUUGUAACAGAUACAGCAUAGAAAGACCAGCAUCAAUUCAUAUCCGAAGUGGUCACAUUCAUUUGAUUGAGAAUCAUACUUAGGUAGCCUGGGUUUCACUGUGUGUUUGUGGGUGAUUGUUCCUGUCUCUGUGUUUGCACCAGAUAGGGCUGUUUUGGGUUUUCACAUUUCUUGUUUUGUUAGUUUAUUCAUGUAUAGUGUCUUUAUUAAAGUACCAUUAAUAACCACCA